AAUACAUAUUAUAAAUGAAAAUAAAAUAUUAACCAGCUGUUACAAAUUAGUUCUUUUGUAAAAUUUAUAUAUAUGCAUGAGGCUUCAGAUUAUUAUUGUUAUAUUAAUUUAUGUAAUUUGGAAUCAGACACUUUAGUUUAUUUUUUAUUUCAUUCAAAACACAACAUAUCUUAAGUUAUACAUAAUCUCCAUAAACUAUAUUUACGUAUCUAAGACAACAACCACCUAAAUGUAGAUAAAAAAUUAA
rnacentral:lncRNA from 1 species